CCCCUUGCAUGUGAUGAGAUAAUCACCUAUCUCCUUGCUGGUCUCGGUCAUGACUAUAAUCCUCUUGUAACUACUAUCUCUGCUCGCAAAGAUCCCGUUACUCUCGAGGAGGUUUACUCUCUUCUUCUCACUACAGAGU